rnacentral:tRNA from 1 species
UGGGGUACAGCUCAGUGGUAGAGCGUGUGCUUAGCAUGCACAAGGUGCUGGGUCGAAUUCCCAGUACCUCCA